rnacentral:misc_RNA from 1 species
GAUGAAGAACGUAGCAAAAUGCGAUAAGUAAUGUGAAUUGCAGAAUUCAGUGAAUCAUCGAAUCUUUGAACGCACAUUGCGCCCGCUGGUAUUCCGGCGGGCAUGCCUGUUCGAGCGUCAUUUCAACCCUCAAGCCCCCGGGUUUGGUGUUGGGGAUCGGCUCUGCCCUUCUGGGCGGUGCCGCCCCCGAAAUACAUUGGCGGUCUCGCUGCAGCCUCCAUUGCGUAGUAACUAACACCUCGCAACUGGAACGCGGCGCGGCCAUGCCGUAAAACCCCAACUUCUGAAUGUUGACCUCGGAUCAGGUAGGAAUACCCGCUGAACUUAAGCAUAUCAAUAAGCGGAGGA